rnacentral:rRNA from 1 species
GAGUUUGAUCAUGGCUCAGGACGAACGCUGGCGGCGUGCCUAACACAUGCAAGUCGAACGGGAACAGCCUGAAGCUUGCUUCGGACUGUUCUAGUGGCGGACGGGUGAGUAACGCGUGAGGAACCUGCCUUUCAGAGGGGGAUAACGUCUGGAAACGGACGCUAAUACCGCAUGACAUCAGAGGGUCACAUGGCUUUCUGAUCAAAGGAGCAAUCCGCUGAAAGAUGGACUCGCGUCCGAUUAGCCAGUUGGCGGGGCAAAGGCCCACCAAAGCGACGAUCGGUAGCCGGGCUGAGAGGCUGAACGGCCACAUUGGGACUGAGACACGGCCCAGACUCCUACGGGAGGCAGCAGUGGGGAUAUUGCACAAUGGAGGAAACUCUGAUGCAGCAACGCCGCGUGAGGGAAGACGGUCUCGGAUUGUAAACCUUUGUCCUCGGUGACGAUAAUGACGGUGGCCGAGGAGGAAGCGUCCGG